UACAGAGGUCUCAAGCGUUGCUCGGAUUCAUCGGGCGUAAAGGGCGUGUAGGUGGCGCGCUAAGUCGGGUGUGAAAUUUCGGAGCUUAACUCCGAAACUGCAUUCGAUACUGGCGUGCUUGAGGACUGGAGAGGAGACUGGAAUUCAUGGCGUAGCAGUGAAAUGCGUAGAGAUCAGGAGGAAGACCAGUGGCGAAGGCGGGUCUCUGGACAGUUCCUGACGCUGAGACGCGAAGGCCAGGGGAGCAAACGGG
rnacentral:rRNA from 1 species